UACAGAGGGGGCAAGCGUUGUUCGGAAUUACUGGGCGUAAAGCGCGCGUAGGUGGCUCGAUAAGCCGGUUGUGAAAGCCCCGGGCUCAACCUGGGAACUGCAUCCAAAACUGGCAAGCUAGAGUACGGUAGAGGGUGGUGGAAUUUCCUGUGUAGCGGUGAAAUGCGUAGAUAUAGGAAGGAACACCAGUGGCGAAGGCGACCACCUGGACUGAUACUGACACUGAGGUGCGAAAGCGUGGGGAGCAAACAGG
rnacentral:misc_RNA from 1 species